rnacentral:misc_RNA from 1 species
CGCACAUUGCGCCCAUCAGUAUUCUGGUGGGCAUGCCUGUUCGAGCGUCAUUUCAACCCUUAAGCCUAGCUUAGUGUUGGGAAUCUACCGUACGGUAGUUCCUCAAAGACAGUGGCGGAGCGGCAGUGGUCCUCUGAGCGUAGUAAUUCAUUUCUCGCUUUUGUCAGGCCCUGUCCUCCCGCCGUAAAACCCCCAUCUUUUAGUGGUUGACCUCGGAUCAGGUAGGAAUACCCGCUGAACUUAA